UCUCUUUGAAUGGAAGUGUCCGUCAGUUUAAUUGAGUCUCUAAAGUUUUUGAGGUUUCUCAAAUCAUUUUAUAUAGGUCAAGCAUGCAUGGGAGAGGAAGAUCCUACAACUUGGGCUGGAGCAAUUUGAAAUAGUUGGAGAACCACUGAAGGCAUUGCUGAUAAUUGGAAAAGGCCCUCACACAGCUGUUACCAAUGCAAAGGCUACUAUAUCAUGUUUGGAAGCUUUAAAUUUUGGUGUGCUUAAUCUUUAAAGAUUUGUUGUGUUUACUCGAACGAGGUCACAGAACAUCCAUCCCCAUUCAUUACGCUCCACAAGGAAGCAUGUUUUGGGAAACACAGCCUAAGGAGUGCCAAGGUUGUUGAUUGUCGCAACAUUCAGCUUCAGGACCUAUGAUGACAAAUUUAGGUUGUCCAAGUGCUAUAGUGUCAGGUAUUCUUAAUCUUCUUUUGAUUGAUCACCCAAUUAAUAUCGGGUGGAUUAUUAGGUUGACAACUGUGUGCAUUUCAAUAUUGUAAUCUAAUUUGUUGAUUGUUAUAGUUUUUCAACUUUCAGACAAAUGACGAUAAUUUAGGUUAUUCAGUGUUGUUGUGUUAGGUGUUCUGAAUCCUCUUGGUGACUGUUUCACCUAAGUAUGAUUGCAUGCUUAUUCUUACUCUUGUGUAAUUACUCUUUCAUAUAUAUAUAUAUAUAUAUAUAUAUAUAUAUAUAUUGUUUCUUUGUAGAGUGUUGUGGUUAUUUUAUUAUUGAUUAUAAUACAUUGGACAAUGGGGCUGGUCUGUGCUUAUGAUUAUAAAGAGGAAUGUUGUUUGGUGAGGUAGCAAUUUGGGCUGUUGUGCUAGUGGUGGAGUGAUUCAGUGUUCUGAAAGGGGGUUUAAGAUGCUUGGCAAUGGGGUUGCCGUUGAUGGAGCUUUCUGUUGGUUUGGAGCUUUGCGUUUGUUGGGAGGUUUCAUUGUAUCUAAAAGCUUUUGAACUUUCAUAUAUAUAUAUAUAUAUAUAUAUAUAUAGAGAGAGAGAGAGAGAGAGAGAGAGUACUACGUAUGUAAUAAUGGAGGAAACAUAUGGGGUCCAUAGGUAAAAGGUGAAAACAAAGAAUAAAGGUAAGACAAAUAAAAGCUUUCAUGAUUGACCACAAAUAGUAUUAUAUAAGACAAAGUAAAAGAUUGUGGUGUGUGCCAUAGAUUGGAUGCAGUAGGAAUAGGAAGACAUCUCAAGCUAUGUUCUCAGUGUGAUAUAUAUAUAAAAUGAAUACAAAUUGAACUGUGCGUUCUUUCAAAGAGAGUUUAUUUUUUUUUAGAAUACAAAAUUGAACUAGCUUAUAUUUAUGU